rnacentral:rRNA from 1 species
GUAGCCGGACUGAGAGGUUGAACGGCCACAUUGGGACUGAGACACGGCCCAGACUCCUACGGGAGGCAGCAGUGGGGGAUAUUGCACAAUGGGGGAAACCCUGAUGCAGCGACGCCGCGUGGAGGAAGAAGGUCUUCGGAUUGUAAACUCCUGUUGUUGAGGAAGAUAAUGACGGUACUCAACAAGGAAGUGACGGCUAACUACGUGCCAGCAGCCGCGGUAAAACGUAGGUCACAAGCGUUGUCCGGAAUUACUGGGUGUAAAGGGAGCGCAGGCGGGAAGACAAGUUGGAAGUGAAAUCCAUGGGCUCAACCCAUGAACUGCUUUCAAAACUGUUUUUCUUGAGUAGUGCAGAGGUAGGCGGAAUUCCCGGUGUAGCGGUGGAAUGCGUAGAUAUCGGGAGGAACACCAGUGGCGAAGGCGGUCUACUGGGCACCAACUGACGCUGAGGCUCGAAAGCAUGGGUAGCAAACAGGAUUAGAUACCCUGGUAGUCCAUGCCGUAAACGAUGAUUACUAGGUGUUGGAGGAUUGACCCCUUCAGUGCCGCAGUUAACACAAUAAGUAAUCCACCUGGGGAGUACGACCGCAAGGUUGAAACUCAAAGGAAUUGACGGGGGCCCGCACAAGCAGUGGAGUAUGUGGUUUAAUUCGACGCAACGCGAAGAACCUUACCAAGUCUUGACAUCCUGCGACGCACAUAGAAAUAUGUGUUUCCUUCGGGACGCAGAGACAGGUGGUGCAUGGUUGUCGUCAGCUCGUGUCGUGAGAUGUUGGGUUAAGUCCCGCAACGAGCGCAACCCUUAUGGUCAGUUACUACGCAAGAGGACUCUGGCCAGACUGCCGUUGACAAAACGGAGGAAGGUGGGGAUGACGUCAAAUCAUCAUGCCCUUUAUGACCUGGGCUACACACGUACUACAAUGGCGUUAAACAAAGAGAAGCAAGACCGCGAGGUGGAGCAAAACUCAGAAACAACGUCCCAGUUCGGACUGCAGGCUGCAACUCGCCUGCACGAAGUCGGAAUUGCUAGUAAUCG